rnacentral:rRNA from 1 species
CCUACGGGAGGCAGCAGUGGGGAAUAUUGCACAAUGGGGGAAACCCUGAUGCAGCGACGCCGCGUGAGCGAUGAAGUAUCUCGGUAUGUAAAGCUCUAUCAGCAGGGAAGAAAAUGACGGUACCUGACUAAGAAGCCCCGGCUAACUACGUGCCAGCAGCCGCGGUAAUACGUAGGGGGCAAGCGUUAUCCGGAUUUACUGGGUGUAAAGGGAGCGUAGACGGGGGUGCAAGCCAGAUGGGAAAGCCCGGGGCUCAACCCCGGGACUGCAGUUGGAACUGUGCUGGUAGAGUGUCGGAGGGGCAGGCGGAAGUCCUGGUGUAGCGGUGGAAUGCGUAGAUAAUAGGAGGAACCCCAGGGGCGAAGGCGGCCUGCUGGACGAUGACUGACGUUGAGGCUCGAAAGCGUGGGGAGCAAACAGGAUUAGAUACCCUAGUAGUC